CGUGGUUUAACGGCACCAGAUUGCAUGGGCGUGUUUCAUCUUUACAGAACCAAUCAACUUACUCAGCUUAAGCCUCAGCUGGGUGUUACUUAUACCAACUUUUUUUCAGUAUGCCCUGAAGCAGGCCCCAAAGGUCAGGGUCGUUUCACCUUUCCCCCCUUCUAGACCUUUGUCCUCCCAGCUGCUUAUUAUUGUUGGUGUUUUGGUGAGGUUCAAGUUAUGAAAUCAUUUCUGUGGUAAAAUGCUCAAGUGUGCAUAGAGGAUUCAUGUGGAGUAGUAAGUGAAAUGAGACAGAGGCGUAACAAGGAACUGACAUCAAGAAAAAUAGAGUAAAACAUGAUUUAAUCUGAACAUUGAAAAUCUGUGAAGCUAAAUGCAAGUAAAACUGUAGGCUGUGCAGGUGUUCUGUAU
rnacentral:lncRNA from 1 species